UCUUGGUGUAUGAGCCAUUUUAUCUCUAUUAUCCUUUGGAUUUUGUUUUGUUACUUGCACAAUCACCACAAGGGGCUCUUCAGGUGAAUGGGCAAGUAAAUUCUACGAAGAGACACAGGUGAAGCAGUGAUCUGGGGAACAAGAAGAGCACACGGUUUUUACUGUUGGACAUAUCUGUCUUUUUUGGUUUGUUUUUCAUUUAAUCAAUAAAUGACAAAAAUGUAACUCAACAACAACUUUGGAUUGGACAUCGGAUUGUACGAGAAGCGCGUCAAAAAUGCCUCACUCCCGCACCCAGACAGUGACUAAACAUCAGGUUAGCAUAGUCACUACAACUGGGUUUGGUCACAUUAUAUAAUUUUUUUGUUGUAGGUAGGACACCGGCAGCAGGGCAGCAGUUCCCCACCAAACGCCUCUGCAGACUGCAGGCAGCUCUGGGCCGUUAAACUCUCAGCACCAGGUGAGUCUGAUUGUCACUCAGUGAUUUCACCUGGACAGCUAUGGGGAGACAAAAAACACACAAACACACAGCUGUAACAAAAGUCUUUUUUGUGUUCAAGUUUAAGAGGAGUCUGUUUAAUUAAAAUUCCUUAAAGUUUGUUUUUAAGUGACUUUUCUAAAUAGAAAUGUCAAAACUAGAAACUUUACACGAGUGGCGUCAUUUUUGUAAGACCUCCAGACUUCAGGUUAGAUCAGAGGUGCUUAUAACACAGACUCUUUUUCUCAUUGUGCUGCUUUUCUAAUAAGUGGAGAAAAAAAAACUCAAAUGUAUUUCGUGAUGAUUUCAUCACCGGGAAUGUUUUACUCUAACGUCGGUAAUGAACUUUGUCUCCCUCCUCCUUUUGUCUCUCUUCACAAACGAACAGGAAGCUGCUAUUCAGUCCAUUUAUUGGCAGUUGCUGCUUUUCAAUUUUACCAGCAACUGGGUGUAUGAGACCAUUUUUGUUCAUAAUUGGUUUUCAGUUAAUAGUUAAUGAGAUGCUGUUUUUGGUGAGGUGAACGCUGCGCUCUCUGGCCUUCAUAAUCGUCAGUGUGAGAAAUAUUAAGUGUCUCUUUUGUUGCAGUUAAAUAAAUAGAAACCUGGUUGCUUUUUGGACCACUGCAUUGUUAAGAAAUUACCUUUCCAUGCUUCUGUACCAAUCUGCGUGCACUUCUAUUAAAAUCAUGUCUUAAUCCCACCUUAAAACCUGACAUUAGUGUUUAAAUACAAACUGAAAUGUGUCGGGCAUUGCAGCGAACAAUGUGACUGUUUCAGGCUUUUUUCCCUGUGGGGAUUUAGUUACAGCUGGGUGAAGCUACUGCAUGAAUACUCACCGUUGCAUUUGGGAACACUGGAUUGUGUUUGUGGGGGUUAAAACUCAAGGGGAUCCUUGUUUUCCUCCAGGUUUCUCCAAGUUGGACCGCUGUAAUGCACAGAGGCUGCGAACACGGCCCACCAUCUGUGCAUGUCUGACUUCAAACCGUCGGUGCGAUGCAACAUAGUCCCGUGCAGUCGAGAUAGCAGCCCCGAGCCAACCAAAAGAGAAGUGAGGGUUGUUUUUGCAGAGGAAAUACUAAAUAUUGGCUGUGUGAGUGAUUCGCUGAGGUCUCUCGGCCGUACAGGGAGCCGACUGGAGUGCAUCUCUUCCUUUGAAAACAACAAUAAGAGCUCGAUGGCUUCUGGUGGACACUAACUGUGAGUGACAGAGACAACAGCGGGUCAUGCUUUCAGCGGGAACAUGGUUUCCAAUUGAAUGACAGUAUGACAAUGAAAUAGCCAGGUAGUGCUCGCUCUUGUCAAUAAAGCACAUCAACAAUUUUCACUCAUAAAAGACAAAGCAACCAAUUUGUGAGGAUGGGGUGACACCUGCAUAGAAAGCCAUCACCACCG
rnacentral:lncRNA from 1 species